rnacentral:rRNA from 1 species
UACGGAGGGGGCUAGCGUUGUUCGGAAUUACUGGGCGUAAAGCGCACGUAGGCGGACUGAUCAGUCAGAGGUGAAAUCCCAGGGCUCAACCCUGGAACUGCCUUUGAUACUGUCAGUCUGGAGGUCGAGAGAGGUGAGUGGAAUUCCGAGUGUAGAGGUGAAAUUCGUAGAUAUUCGGAGGAACACCAGUGGCGAAGGCGGCUCACUGGCUCGAUACUGACGCUGAGGUGCGAAAGCGUGGGGAGCAAACAGG